UCAUAGGUGGCUUUUGCUCACGUCCAGGUUAAGAAUUAUUUAAAAUAUCUUCUCUAUUGGUUUUGAACCUAAAUAGAGUUUGUGUUUGGACUUGAAACUGUUCUGGUCUUUUGUUUUUUUUCGAUCUGUCAGAUGCCUUUGCAUUGAUUGUUGGAGUUACCUCUAACCACCAGCCUGUCCACAACAACUCUUCUUCCAGCCUUCUUUUCCCAUUGAGGAUUCAUCUUUUCCUCCUGAGCACUUCUGAGACUGACUUCACUGGUUCCUUCUCCACAUCUCCUGAGCUGACCAAUCAGGAACUGGGAUUUGGCAGCGAUGAUCAUUUGCCACACCAGCGCUCAGUCAACCUCCAAAUUGUGAGGAAAUGUUACAGAUUCCAUGUAUUGUUAAAAAAGGGUCCCAGGCCACAUGACAUGCUCACAAGCAAACCUUUAAGUGAGUAACAUGGCUUCUCAAGUUUGAGUUUAUAAAGCACCUCACGGACCCAGCGGACAUGCGAAGGGGGAGGGGGAAGCUUCCAGUUCAGCAGGAUCAGCCAAUGGCCCACUUCCAUGCACUUGGCAUGUCUGAAGUUAGGGGAACACCGAAUAUUGCAGACAUGGAAUUCAGUGUGACGACGUGUCUAUAUGCUCUAGAUUAUGUAAUGGGGUGAUUCUUUUUUCCUACCUUUACAAUUUGGUUUUUUUAAAAAUCUUUUUUGUUUUAUUGAUCCUGGUUGUGCAACCUAAAACUCCAAGGGCCCUUGAAUGGCUCAUGGCAAAUCUGGUGAUGAGUCACAGGUGUGUGUGAUCAAGGUGGGUUGGAGUUUUGAUCCUUUAAAAAGGAUGAACAGCUGGACUUGGAGCGGAAAAAAAAGGCGCACCACAAGAGCUGCACAAGCAGUGUUGGAACACCAGCGAUAGGAGCCACACGCGUGGUGUUUUGGAGCACCAGGACGGAGGCUGCACGUGUGGUGUUUUGCAGCGGCGGCGGCAGCAGCAGCAGCAGCGGUUGUGGUGCUUGAAGCAUGCCAGCCCCAGGAAUUGGACAUUGUAGAGUCUGGGCUCGGCCACAUGACUGGGACAACAAAGUGGAACCAGUGGACCAUGGAACUGGAAAGUGGACGCGACGAACAACAGCAGAGGGGUGUGGUUGCGACCCACCCCUCUUUCAGAUAAAUGGGGUUUGGACUGCAUGCUCCUCUAAUCAUCCUGGAGCAUUUGGACUGCUGGAGGCCGGACACUAUAGGACUGGACACAAUAAACAUUUUGAAAACUUGCA